rnacentral:sRNA from 1 species
GCUGCGUGCGCGUCUCCUCCAGGCAGCAAGGGGAACCCGAGGCCGCCGGCGCCCGGACCAUGUCGUCUCCGGGGCCGUCGCAGCCGCCGGCCGAGGACCCGCCCUGGCCCGCGCGCCUCCUGCGUGCGCCUCUGGGGCUGCUGCGGCUGGACCCCAGCGGGGGCGCGCUGCUGCUGUGCGGCCUCGUAGCGCUGCUGGGCUGGAGCUGGCUGCGGAGGCGCCGGGCGCGGGGCAUCCCGCCCGGGCCCACGCCCUGGCCUCUGGUGGGCAACUUCGGUCACGUGCUGCUGCCUCCCUUCCUCCGGCGGCGGAGCUGGCUGAGCAGCAGGACCAGGGCCGCAGGGAUUGAUCCCUCGGUCAUAGGCCCGCAGGUGCUCCUGGCUCACCUAGCCCGCGUGUACGGCAGCAUCUUCAGCUUCUUUAUCGGCCACUACCUGGUGGUGGUCCUCAGCGACUUCCACAGCGUGCGCGAGGCGCUGGUGCAGCAGGCCGAGGUCUUCAGCGACCGCCCGCGGGUGCCGCUCAUCUCCAUCGUGACCAAGGAGAAGGAACUUUUUCAAGAGUGAAGAAUAAAAAGGGAGGAUGUGAAUUUAUUUCAAGAUGAUCAUCAAAGGAUGAAGGAGCAGAUGAGUUGUGAGUGGACUUCCCAGAUCAAGAAAUGGACAGUAUUAUCAACCUGAAGAAAAGAGGCCACUGUGACUACAGUCAAGAUGCUCAGCUCAGCAAGACUUGAGGACAGCUCAAACCAUCUUUGGCUACUGUGCCCAGUAGCAAAGGAGUAAAUGUGAUACUGUCCAGAAACAAGAUGUGUAGGCCAUAAGAGAAAAGAAAUUAUGUUAGGAAUUAGAGGCCAAUAACAUUAUUGAAUAUUUAUUAUUUUUUGAAAGAACUUUGCUGCUGAAGUUGGUGAGAAUAGCAGAGAAGGGUAUGUUUCAUAAUGCAAAGAGAGGCUAGAAAUAGUUGACUUAAUACAUUUGCUGAAAAGUUCCAGAAUGUAGGAAUUUUAUUUGUUAUGUUUAAAUUCUUCAAAAUUUCAUGAUUAGACAAGGUGGUCUUCUUCUUAAGCCCAUAAAAACUACAGUAAACUAGAUAGGCCAUAAAGAUGCUGUGUCCAUCAUUCUGACUGAUUCUUUUCCUAAGCACAAAAAGAAAAGAAAAUUACAAAAUCAGAGCUAAGGCUACCAAAGGAGCGUUUCACUCUUAAGUGUGCUGAUAUGGUUUGAAGGUGUCCCCAAAUGUUUAUGUAUUAGAAACUUAAUCCCUAAUGCAACAGUGUCAAGAGAUGGGAACUUAAAAGAUGACUAGGUCAUGAGGGCUCUGCCUUCAUCAAUGGAUUAGUGCUGUUAUCACCAGAGUGGGUUAGUUAUUGUGGGAGUGGGUUUCUGAGAAGAAGGAUGAGUUUGGCCCCCUUUCUCUCUCUCUCUCUCUUUCAUCCUCUCUUACCCUUCUGCCUUCCACCAUGGGAUGAUGCAGCAUGAAGGCCCUUGCCAGAUGCCAGUGCUAUCCUCUUGGACUUCCCAGCCUUCAGAACUGUAAGAAAUAAAUCUCUGUUCUUUAUAAAUUA